UACGAAGGGUGCAAGCGUUACUCGGAAUUACUGGGCGUAAAGCGUGCGUAGGUGGUGAGUUAAGUCUGUCGUGAAAGCCCCGGGCUCAACCUGGGAAUGGCGAUGGAUACUGGCUCGCUAGAGUGCGGUAGAGGAGAGUGGAAUUCCCGGUGUAGCAGUGAAAUGCGUAGAGAUCGGGAGGAACAUCAGUGGCGAAGGCGGCUAUCUGGCCCGUAAUUGACGCUGAGGCGCGAAAGCGUGGGGAGCAAACAGG
rnacentral:rRNA from 1 species